rnacentral:lncRNA from 1 species
UCCCACCCAGAGGCUUUAAAUGUCUGACAACUUCCUGGUAGAAAUAUUGCUAUGCAGGAAAACCUCAGAUGCCUGUCUCUUAAGUUUAAACCUAUGUAUAACAAAAAGGCCUUCAUACACCACUACACUAGAGAGGGCUUAAGUGAAUCCGAAUUCACUGAAGCACAAGAAGAUUUAAAUGAUUUGAUUUCUGAUUAUCAGAGUUUUCAGGAUUGCGGAAAAGGGGAGGAAAAAAAAAAAUCUAAAUCAAACAAAAAGCGAGUUGGCAAGCAAUUCAAUCUAGGUUAUGGCAAGACCAGCUCAGGGAAGGGCCCUGAGGGUCAUCAAGCCAGGACAAGAACCAUGGGGGUUGGGAUUACAGCAGGACCAAUUCCAAUUUCGACUAAGAACUUCGCAGAAAGCUACUUAGAGCAGAGAACUUACAACGCGGCGCCAUAUGCCAAGACCAACUCAGGGAAAGGCCCCGUGGGUCAAGCCGGGGCAAGAAGCAUGGGGGUUGGGAUGUCAGGAGGACCAAUCCCGAAUAAGAACUCCGCAGACAGCUUCUUAGAGCAGAGAAAUUACGACGCGGCGCCAUAUGCCAAGACCAACUCAGGGAAAGGCCCCGUGGGUCAAGCCGGGGCAAGAAGCAUGGGGGUUGGGAUGUCAGGAGGACCAAUCCCGAAUAAGAACUCCGAAGACAGCUUCUUAGAGCAGAGAGCAUCUCAGAAUGCAAAGAAAUAUUCAAGAGACGGAUCUCUCAGAGACAAUGCUUCAAAGACGACUACAGAACUUGGACCACCACCACCACCUAAUAAUGGGGGAAAGCCAAGCACUUCAAGGAAAUUUAAGCCCCCAAAUGAAACAAGAUCAGACACUAAUCAACCAAGAAAGGUGAACUCCAAAGUGAAAUCUUGUAACAAACCAGAAGUAGUAUAUAAUUGCUGUAUCAGCAGUUAUUUAUUCGUCUCAAAUUAAGAUCUUCAGAAGGAACUAGAAGCUGGAGAGACAGUAAUUCCUUCCUCUACAGUGUGGCUUAAGCUCUAUGAAGAUGGAAGAACAGUGGAAAGGCCAAAAAAAAAAGUUGACAAUUGUUGCAUCGAAGGGUAAAAAAUUGUCAACUUGAUAAUGCAAAGACUAAAUACAUAGUACUGGAAAAAGGUAAAUUUUUUUCUCACUUUGAUGAAACUCACAUUUCAUUCAAGUCAAUAAUAAAACUCUUCUCAAAAGAACGUGAACCCA